GUUGCUGAGUUUGUAGAAAGCAUCUCUUGCUUUAUCUGCCAAAGCACAGUAUUGAAUAGAUGCAACAACAUUAACAAAUACAUUGUCCUUUGUCUUGGUCUCACAACGGACAUCCAACUGCUGCAACCUCAGUGAUAGUUGGCCUGAAAGCCGGCUUCCAACAACCCAAGGUAGGCAAUGGCAUCCAGGCUCAAGAACUCCAUCAAAUUUCCCAAAUCUCUCCUUGAUAGCUACUGUGGACUGGUCAACUUGCACGCAACAAAACAGAUUACCCAUCCUCUCUACAGUCCAAUACAUCCCAAAAUAACAUGUAAGUCAAAGUGAAACUAAAACAUGAUAUUUCACAAUGAUUAGCAAUUUUUUUUAAAAAGGAGUACACAUUGAAUCUAUAAUAUCCCAAUCAACAUACUUUACCAGACAGCAAAGACAGAAAAACAAAAUUCACACUCAAUAGAAUCACGAAAUUCCUACAUUCAAUCUGAAACUAGAAGACUUAUUUAUGGUAUUUGAAAUGUAAGUGAGCUAAUGGUGACUAAAUUUCCCUAAAACAAGCUCAAGGUCUCAUAGGAAAAUAAUCUAAAUGCUAAAACAAAAAUAACAUAUAUUUUACGCUUCAAAAAAAGUGAAAAGUGACAGGAGAAGUGGAAAAUAAAUAGUAGUUCCAACUGUCACCAGAAUCAAAUUUGACACAACAGAUAAGUGCGGGGAAAAAAAUCUAGCAAUAGACCAAAACCUGGAAAACUUCCUGCAACUUCUCCAGAACUUUGAACUCAAAUCUGAGAGAAAAUUACUGAUUAUUAUUGACGAGGUUGGGGGGGGGGGGGGGGGG
rnacentral:misc_RNA from 1 species